AGAAGAUUUCUUGGAGGAGAGAUAGAGCAUGCAAAUUAGAGGGAGAGAGGGUUUUUUGGAGGAGAGAGAGAGCACGCAGGUCAGAGGGACUAAAACCCACCUCCAAAAAGUUGUUAUCUCCAUUACCCAUUCUCCAUUACCACCACCCCAUGACCUCAUUUUCUCUCUCUUGAAGAAAUGCUUGAAAGCACCCUAACCGAAGGGUUUCUUGGAGGAGAGAGAGAGCACAUAGAUUAGAGGGAGAAAGGGUUUCUUGGAGAGCAGAGAGAGCACGCACCAUUAAAAGAGGGAGAGAGGGGUUCUUGGGGAGAAAUUCUUUUUUAUAGAGGAUUAGGCAGGAAGAUCCUAAAGAGAGAGAGUCCAAAGCCAGGCAAGAGGCAAUACGGUCAUCCCGAAAACAGGGUUUGCUUUUCGUCGUGCCGAGGCCUCUAGGUCAGCACCCAAGGUUCUCAUCGUCGCCGCUAAUUUGCAGAACCUAGGUCUGACAUGGAAAUUCCCACAAUGGAGCCUGAAGCUGAGUGAAACAAUAUGUAGACUUCGCUAUGUACACCAUUCGCUUUUGUGAUGUUUGGAUGACAAUGCAAGAAGUCAAAGCAGAGGCCAUAACUUUAAGAACAAGACUGGAGUUUUUUGUACAAGCCCAGUGGUUAACCCUCAAGCUCAUCAUCUCAAAAAUUUUUUGCAAGCCCAAUACUCAACAAUCAAGCUCAUCAUCUUAGAAAUGUUUUGCAAGCCUAAUGCUCAACAAUCAAGCUCAUCAUCUUAGAAAUUUUUGCAAGCCCAAUGCUCAACAAUCAAGCUCAUCAUCAUAGAAAUCUUUUGUAACCCCAAUGCUAGUGGAGAAAACUUUAUCUUGGAAUGGAGGUUCGGAAUGGAAUUUUUGUAUAGCUUCCAUAUAUUGCAAAUUCAUGUUGCAAGUAGAAUUUUGUAUAGUUUCAAAGUGCAUGUUGAAUAUCUUCAAAUGGAAUUUUUGUAUAGCUUAAGUUCCUCACACUUCUUAGACCAGAACAUGCUAUCCACUCAUUCAAGAAAUUUAA